CAGCGGUGAACCACCUACCGCGUUAUUAUGUCUUAAUUUCGGUUAAUUUUACCGGAUCCUGGCGUGUGUGUGUGUGUGAGAGAGAAGAGAGUGUGAGUGUAUCUCUUUGUGUGUGUGAGAGCAGCAGCUUGUUCAUGAAACUCUGUUUGUUAGCCGCUAAGCUAACGGGAUGCUAACCGCUAUUAGCAUCAUCGGCUAGCGGCAGUUGUUAGCUUGUGUGAACAGUGUGAACCACGGAGGGCACCGGGCCGGACGGUCCGUCCACGGACGGACAGACAGACAGACAGACAGACAGACACACGGACAAACGGACGGACCUCCCGGUUACCCGGUGGAAACUGUGACGGUCUUCACAGAUGAAGAUGAAGAUUUGGACUUUUCAGAUGCUACAAGUUCAACGUUAUGACAGUCAGCGCCAUUGUUGACCGGAAACAGCUCCGGCUCCCUCUGCGUCACCAGCUCAGACUCCUGCGCUCAAACUGUGUGUGACGGUGAACGUGAACCCCUCCCCCAUGCCGACCUCCACACCCUCACCUUCUACAUGCAUCUGCACCGGACAUUAACGCCGGACGUACGGCGAGAGGUUUGGAAUCAUCCACUGUGGAGCUCCCGGGCAGCUAAUGUGAUAUUUGCUGUCGCCCUGGCCCCCAAAUCCGGUGUCAAGCGACAGAUCUCAUCUGCAAUGUAG